rnacentral:sRNA from 1 species
GUUCAGGUUUAGAAAACUUGGCCUUAUGUAACCUUAUAGAACGUAAACAUUUAAGGUGAGAGUUCGAUACCACCAAAAAUUUUAGGUCUUUUUCCUUUUUCCUUUGUAUAAAUUAGAAUAUUUAAACUGACUAUAAAGGGCUACGCACUUGUGCUUUUGUAAAAUUGUAUCAUAUUGUUACGAAAUUGAUUUCAAUGCAGAAAAAAACUUGAAUGAAAUUGUUUUUACGUUUAAAAGCAUGGGCAUCAACUUUUUCUUUUUUAAAUUUAACCGUAAUUGACCGUCAAAAUAUGUAUUAUUAAACAUAUGACAGUUAAUUAUAGAGUGUAAUACAAAUUCUUUGAUGAAACAUGCAAUUUCUUCGACAAAAAAAAAAAUCAAAAUGAAAUUUGUCAGAAUUCUUUAGACUCAUUGGAGCCUUUGACGACCAUUUCUUAAUUUGUUUAGCUUUUUUCCUGUGCCUAGAGAAUUUAUUGUAAAUAUAAAUGGAAACUCACUACUUUUUUAAAGAUUACUAAUACAUAGCAGCUGAAACGUGUUAUUCCUGGAUGUUUAUACUUUGAAUUCUCUCUUGUACUUUCAGUUUCAUGCAUGCCAUCCACAUUAUUUCGAUCGAUCAGAUUUUUUUGGUUUUGCUUUCAGUAUUCGACUUGUUAUUUUUUCUCAAUGAAUAAAUUUUCUUUACCUAAGUCGUACGGCUGCCAUCUGUAGUUUCUGCCUCCGAACUUUUUCUCAUUGUGCGCCGAACACUGCCGCUGUCGAAGUGUUUGCUGAUCAUGCGCGCACUCCUGGAAAAUAAUCAACUUGUGAAUCUACCACUGAUUUUAUUUCAUUGUUAAAAUUUCAAUGUAUCAUAUAUUAAAGUUUUAAGAAAUCUUUUUUAGACCAUAACUUUACAGUCAUUGUGUAAUUUUUUAGAAAGUCAAAACUAAACGAAAUGGAAUGGAAAAUCUGAAACCAAAUGUGAAGAGUUUUCUUUCCUAUCAUUUAUCGCCAUUAAGAAAUUAACAAAUGCUACUAAAACUUAUAAAAUCUGUUUAUCUUUAGAGUAAUUUCUUUUGGUCACCUGAAUCAUAUUUUACCUGUCUGUUGCAGACUUUAUAUUCAAUACUCUCUGAUGUACAUGCUCGUGUGCUGAAAAAAUAAACACAACGUUAAAUUACUUGAACCAUUCAUUCUUCUUGCACAUUUGCAUAUGUAAGCAAAAUAGUAUUACGUACAGUCAUCCAAAAAAAAUGGCGUAUUGAUUACUUUGAUUAUAUGAGUACAUAUGAAGGUUAGAGAACUCAUUGCAUACUUUUCUAGACACUCCCUGGUUCUUGAGGACACCCCGGUCCCACAGUCUGCGUUACAAGCUGACCACUCACUCCACACGCUCCAUCUGUCACGUGACUGACUCGACCUCGAUCUGAUGUGACGAUUGGACUAAAAAACACAAAUAACGUAAAAGUAAAUUCAAUUAAGAAAACUAUUAUUUUUGUUUGUUUGGGGGUUUGUUCGUUUUAUUGUUGGCUGUUGUUUUGAUUCAUUUUGGGGGGGUUUUCGGUCACGUUAUUUUUACUUCGAAAAAAUUGCUUUUUUGAUGAGGGAAAGGGCUAGAACCUAGACACGUGAAAAAAUUGCCAAUACGACAAUUAUAUGGCGAUUUGCAAUGAAUUGUGAGCAUACGUGUAGAAACAUGUGAAAUUCACUUACAAUCGCGAAUAAUCCAAGUUUGUUUGCUAUCCACAAGAAAUGGAAAAAUAAAUAAAUUCGUUUGCAUGUUUAUAUUUUUGUUGCAUUUAGAUGGGAUUGCAAAAGAAGGAAAAGGUAUUUUAUUUUGGUUUUUCAAGAUGCAUCUAUCAGUCUGGGAGUAAUGCUUGUUAAAUUUUACAUAUUUCGUAGUCUAUGAUUUACUUGUUUGCAACAAUCUACUGCUACGCCUAGCCUAAAUUCCAAUAAAUUUAUAAAAAUGCUGCAUUUCAGAAAACUUAUCUUUUUGUUGUGUUUGUAACUUAAGAUUUGCAAUAUUAACCAUCUGGU